rnacentral:rRNA from 1 species
AUUGAACGCUGGCGGCAGGCUUAACACAUGCAAGUCGAGCGGAGAUGAGGUGCUUGCACCUUAUCUUAGCGGCGGACGGGUGAGUAAUGCUUAGGAAUCUGCCUAUUAGUGGGGGACAACAUUCCGAAAGGAAUGCUAAUACCGCAUACGUCCUACGGGAGAAAGCAGGGGAUCUUCGGACCUUGCGCUAAUAGAUGAGCCUCAGUCGGAUUAGCUAGUUGGUGGGGUGAAGGCCUACCAAGGCGACGAUCUGUAGCGGGUCUGAGAGGAGGAUCCGCCACACUGGGACUGAGACACGGCCCAGACUCCUACGGGAGGCAGCAGUGGGGAAUAUUGGACAAUGGGGGGAACCCUGAUCCAGCCAUGCCGCGUGUGUGAAGAAGGCCUUAUGGUUGUAAAGCACUUUAAGCGAGGAGGAGGCUACUGAGACUAAUACUCUUGGAUAGUGGACGUUACUCGCAGAAUAAGCACCGGCUAACUCUGUGCCAGCCGCCGCCGUAACAC